UACGUAGGGUGCGAGCGUUGUCCGGAAUUAUUGGGCGUAAAGGGCGCGUAGGCGGCCUUCUAAGUCAGACGUGAAAUCCCCAGGCUUAACUUGGGAACUGCGUCUGAUACUGGGAGGCUUGAGUGCGGGAGAGGGAUGUGGAAUUCCAGGUGUAGCGGUGAAAUGCGUAGAUAUCUGGAGGAACACCGGUGGCGAAGGCGGCAUCCUGGACCGACACUGACGCUGAGGCGCGAAAGCUAGGGGAGCAAACAGG
rnacentral:rRNA from 1 species